rfam:Dyella jiangningensis strain SBZ 3-12, complete genome.
GGGGCCAUAGCUCAGCUGGGAGAGCACCUGCUUUGCAAGCAGGGGGUCGUCAGUUCGAUCCUGACUGGCUCCA